UUCUUUUAAUCCGUGGCCUUUCUUAUUGUAGAGUUGCAGUAUUUCCACUCGGUGGUAACCUGAAAUUGCAAUAGUAAUUGUAAUAAUCCUAAUAAUAACAAAAGUACUAAUAGUUAUAAUGCGACUGAGACAAGUUACAUAUAAACCCAUGAACAUUUAUCAAUGAUCAUGCCAAAAAUGAAAUAUGUAACCCGUUGCUGCUGGAAAUCGGCCCGACCAAAAUGCUGAGCUGCUGGAGGGCUCGGACGAUUAGUUGUUCAAACCGUAGAAGCUCGCCAUAUAUUGUGAUGUGCUUCCGUAAUGAGGUGUUGGCUGCUAUGCUUGGGUGGCGAUGGCUCCAACUCUACUCACUCCCGAGGUGGUGCCAGAAGGAGGAGACAGUGCAUGGACUUUUGUUUGCCCACGAUGUGGGUUGAUGUUUCUACAUAGGUCGUUAUUGUCUUGACGAAGAUUGGUUAGCUUGCCAGGUCUUUAGCUCGAAGGCCGGUGAGACAAAAGGUCUGUAUAUCCUCUUGGGCUAUCUUGACCAAGAGAGGUCGGUUGGCUCGCCAAUUCUUCUAAUCAGAGGUCUGUAGAUGGAAGGUCGACAUCUCCACUUGGGUCGUUCUGAUUUGGAGAGGACAGUUGACUCACCAAGUCUUCGGCUCAAAGGCCGGUGGAUGGGAGAUUAGCAUCUCCAUUUGAAUCAUCUCGAAUUGGAGAGGUCGGUUGGCUCGCCAAGUGUUCGGCUUGGAGGCCGAUAGUCGGAAGGUUGGCAUCUCCACUUGGACUCUUCCGAUCCAAAGAGGUCGGUUGGCUUGUCAAAUCAUCCAGCUCAGAGGCCGGUUGAUGGAGGUCGGCAUCUACACUUGGGUCAUCUAACCUGAAGUUGGCUCACCAAAUUUUUGGUUCGAAGGCUGGUUGGGGUUGUUGGAUGGCUCGCUCAAUGAACGGAGAUGUAGCCUCCAUGAAAACUCCAUCAGAAACUUUUUAACCACGAAGGCUUGCAGGUCGUGGCCGUUAGAUGCUCGAAUGUGCCUUUGUCGAUGGUCGUAUCGAGAUGCAUCUAACCUCAUGCUCGCUUGGGAGCUAGGUACCUAUCCUAAAACACUUAAGAUAAUUUUUUCCAAGAAGAAAAGAGUUUCAUUGAUAAGUCGGGUUUACAGAAUGCGUUGAUGCAUCUUACUAAUGAUAAGCUCGGAGGUUGGCUGACUUUCACGUCCAAAGUAUGCCCUCUUUAGAUGAUCCAAAUGGUAGCUUCCUGGGCGUAUGACCUUGAAUACUUUUGUUGGGCCACUUCCGUCCUUUUGAGCACCAGAUCUUUAGGUCAUAAGAAUUUAACUUUCACUCGGGAGUUUCCGAGAGCUUUUAGGCACCGAGCUCAAAGUUUUUGGCCGAGCUUGAGGCUGGCGAGGAGGGCCUCAUGCUCGGCCUCGUUGUUGGAUGCCUUGAAGCCAAAAUGCAAGGUAUAAUCCACCACGACUCCAUCAGAGCUGGUGAGGAUUAACCCAGCUUCGCUUCUGUUCGUGUUGGAGGAUUUGCCAACAUGGAGCAUCCAAAAAUUUUUUAGCUUGUGCUCCUCUAGCUUCGUGCUGACCUCAGCAUCCUUAAGAAUUUUGCACUCCAUAAGGAAGUCGGCUAGUGCUUGAGCUUUGAUGGUUGGUCGAGGUUGAUAGUGGAUGUCGACCUCCCUGAGCUCGACUACCCAUUUAAUUAACUUUCUCGACAUAUCUAGCUUCUGCUGGACUUGCCUCAGUGGAUGAUCGGUCAGCACGGUGAUGAAAUUGGCCUAAAAGUAGGGCCAAAGUCUUCUAGCCGAGGUAAUGAGAAUAUAGGGUACCUUUGUGAGCUUAGAAUAUCUUGUCUCAGCAUCUCGGAGGACUCGAUUUGUGUAGUAGAUUGGCCUCUAUGCUUCAUCUUCUUCUCGGACGAGAAUCGAGCUUAGCACCAAGGGGGAUAUAGUCGAAUAAAGAUAAAGUAUUUUCUCUAAUUUCGGUUUGGUAAGUAGUGGCAAUGAGUUGAGGUAGUCUCGGAGCUGGUCAAAGGCGGCUUGAUACUUUUUGGACCACUGAAAAUUCUUGAUUUACAUCAGCACUUUGAAGAAGGGAAGACAUCUUUCCAUUGAUCUCGCCACAAAUCUGCUGAGCGUCGCAACGCGACCUGCUAGAUGCUAUACCUCUUUCGUCCUUGGGGGCUUAAUUUCCAGCAUAGUAUGGAUCUUUUUCGGAUUAGGUCAAUCCCGUACUCUGUCACCAUAAACCCGAGAAAUUUUUUUGAGGUAACCCUGAAGGUGUACUUGUUCGAAUUGAGCUUCAUGUGAUACUUUUUCAGAGUUUAGAAGGUCUUUCUGACGUCGGUCACAUGAUACUCAGCCUGCCUUCUUUUGACGUCGGUCACAUGAAGUUCAACAUCUGGUGAUCUAACAUGGCGUCUUCAAGCUGGUCGAUCCUCGACAAUGGAAUGUUGUCUUUGGGAAGUCAAUAAACACUCCAUUUCACAUUAGCUUUCUUUGCAGGGACGACGUUGGUCAGGUAGUCGGGGUCAUCCUCUCAC